rnacentral:ncRNA from 12 species
ACAGCCUGAGGACCGGAAAACCUGCCGCCGGCCCGCCUUGAUAAAUUUUUUCUCAAGGAAACAAGGUGCGAUGUGGGGAAAGCAGUCCCACCAGGCUGU